CAAAAGUGCUUCUGGACAUCUCCAUAUGAGUGAAAAAUUCUCGAGAGGGACGUUAAACAAGAUACAAUCAAUCAAAAGUGCUUCUGCAAAAGGAAAAGGAAGCAUAAAUAUAGGCUGAUAAAGCUAGGCUUCCCAGAAACCCAAAGAAAACAAGAAUUCAGAGUGAUGCUGCUACAAUUCAGAGUCCAGGCAAGGAUAGGACUGCUGGCAGAUCCACACAUGACUGUACCCCACAGGAUAAUCAAGACAUUACAGCAGGAAGAGCACAAGGAAGAAAUUCUAAAAGACAAAUUUGUAGAGCAAGGCGACAGGACAGGAAUACAUCGGGGCAUUAUUGAAGAGGUGCGUCCCAGUGUGACAGAAUUACAUACCUCACCUGCAGCACAGAACUUCAACAUUAUAAUCCAACAAUAUAGUCUCAGAGGGUGCCUAUUCUGAUGGUUCAUGCAUGCUAAAAAUGCUAGUGAUGGGAUCAUAUUGUAUAGGUUUGGUCACAACUUCAAUGCUCCGAAAUUCUUAGAUGUACAAGUACAGCAUUCAAUAAAACAAAAAAAUCAUACAUGUUUUCUUCUAUAAAACCAAAAUGUCCUAGCUCAACAACUAACAUCAAAUUUAAUCCCAACCUCAAGAUAAUGUAAGUAUUAAGUGUCCAUUGAAAAGUUGAUUGCAACUCUAAUGAAGACACAUAACAGUGAUACAGCCAAAGGCUAGCCAUAGAUCUCGACUUGUACAGGCUAACGAUUAAGAUGUAUCCGAUACUUGGUAGGUAGUGUUUCACCAUGCAGACAAAACAAAUGGCACUAGCCUGUCAUCAAUCUCUUUACCAAUCAAUGGAUCUCCUGGUAUUACCCAUUUAUUUAUUUUCCCAGAUUAACGAAGUUCUCCAAAAGAAAAGGGUGAAAACCUCAUUGCUGUGGUGAUGAAACCAAUAACAGACACUGAGGACAUAAGAAUUAACAGAUGCCAGUGUUUGUCUUCAAUACCCAGGAACUCUGGAGGUACUGACAAUGUCUCGGGAUAAUCCAGGAACUCUGGAGGUACUGACAAUGUCUCGGGAUAAUCCAGGAACUCUGGAGGUACUGACAAUGUCUCAGGAUAAACUGAUGUUUUGUCCAGCAUCUGCAAUAUAGCUGGAGUUCAUCUAGAUCAAGUCAUGUAUAACUAUAAUGACAGAGUUCAUCAAAUACAUGUGUAUGCAUAACUCAGAAUCUUUCCGCUCAUUAUGUAUCCCAUUCUAAUGUUUAGAAACUGAGGAUUUUGCAAAUUGAAUGGAUCGAGCUGAAAUUCUUUCCAAUAAUAUUACCUGACCUUGGUAUGAAAUCUGACUGAUGUUAGCAAUCUUUCCUAUAUACUAAUAUAAUCAAACAUUACUCCUUCAAGGCAAUCUGUUUUUGCAUAGUUUUCUUUCAUCAAGCAUCUAAUUUUAAAAUUUUCAUGACAUACAGGGUUAUUGUUAGCAUGAGAAUCUGUGUCAUGAAUGUGGAAAAUUCAUUUGGGACACAAAGAUAUCUUAAAUGAUGAGUCCACAGACGCUUCUCAGACUCAAGUAAAGAUCAGCCCUAAAU